UGUAGCCAUUUGGCAUUUUUAGUCCUUGUACCCGUUAAUCAACAUAUUUUUGUACCUUUUUUUAAAUUGGUGGCUAUUUGGACUUUGCUUGAGUUCCUCACUUAUACUGUUCCAUAGUUUGACCCCGGUUGUAGUUAUACAGAAACCUUUUAAGGUUGUUCUUAUGUUUAAGAUUUUAAAGUUGUGAUUCCCCCUUACCUUAUAACCUCCCUCCCGAUUCCUAAAUAAGUUUUGGAUAUGUUCUGGUAGUUGUUGUGCUUUUGCCCUAUACAUGAUGAUUGCUGUUUGAUAAGAUACUAUAAGUAAUUUGUGUUGUUCGGUACCUUCUCUAAUAAUGUUGUUUAGGAGAGUCCAUAUCCCCUUAAUAUUAUUUUUGUUAUCCUCUAAUUUAUUCUUCUAAUAUUCUUUUUUACUUAAUCUUAUAAUAUUAGUUAAUU